GAAGUGCGACAAGUGUCAUGACUUGCAGAUUCCCGAGAGCUGACAAAUCUCUGAAUGCAAAUGGCGGUCGUCACAACGGCCAUGUUUUGCAGAGUGUAGUUGUUCAUACUUUUCAUCCAUCAAAUCAUCAUCUGCAAAGGGAUGAUUCGAUUGGGAUCUGCACUUGCGACUCCCUCUCACGCGAGUGUGAAACAAUGGAGUAUACAACCCCCCGCGAGUGCUUCUAUGUCCAAUAGACGCACACGCGCGGGAUACAACUUCGGACCAUUAUAUAUAUAUACUCAUAUAUAGAAAUGAGAAGAGGAUUGAAAGGAGUAUACGAACAAACUGUCUCUAUACAGCCACCUCUGCGAAGCAGGAGAACCCGCUGAACUUAA
rnacentral:misc_RNA from 1 species